rnacentral:rRNA from 1 species
UACAGAGGUCCCAAGCGUUGUUCGGAUUCAUUGGGCGUAAAGGGUGCGUAGGCGGCGCGGUAAGUCGGGUGUGAAAUCUCUGAGCUUAACUCAGAAACUGCCGUGGAUACUAUUUGCCUUGAAUAUUGUGGAGGUGAGCGGAAUAUGUCAUGUAGCGGUGAAAUGCUUAGAUAUGACAUAGAACACCAAUUGCGAAGGCAGCUCACUACACAAUCAUUGACGCUGAGGCACGAAAGCGUGGGGAUCAAACAGG